rnacentral:misc_RNA from 1 species
GUUAGUUUUUUUCAAUUCAUUAAGGAAAUUGAAGAGUAUAACUAGAUAAUGAUAAUCCAUUUUCCCAUCGAGAUGAAAUCUUAAUGUCUACUACAAAUAUUUACAGCAUUCAAAGAAUAUUCCUGAGAAAUGAUUUUCUUCUUAGGCAACAAGUAUGAGUUACUUGUGUUAUUCUUGAUAUCAACUUGUUUAUAAGCAUUAAGAAGGAAUCUUUCAUUGUCUUUUCUAUCUUCUACUAACAUUAUACUGUUCACCCAUUUAUCGAGUAAGCGAUAGGACAGCAGUAAAGCAUAGAUCUUAAGCUUCUUUUGAGAAAUUGUGAAACAACUAGGCUGAAGAGAGUUUUCUCUUCUCUUGUGUAGUUGAC